rnacentral:tRNA from 1 species
CAGAAAAUAGUUUAAAAAAAAUAUUGACUUUGGGUGUCAAAGAUCCUAUUAUAGUUUUUCUGA